GACGAACGCUGGCGGCGUGCUUAACACAUGCAAGUCGAACGGAAAGGCCCUGCUUUUGUGGGGUGCUCGAGUGGCGAACGGGUGAGUAACACGUGAGUAACCUGCCCUUGACUUUGGGAUAACUUCAGGAAACUGGGGCUAAUACCGGAUAGGAGCUCCUGCUGCAUGGUGGGGGUUGGAAAGUUUCGGCGGUUGGGGAUGGACUCGCGGCUUAUCAGCUUGUUGGUGGGGUAGAGGCUUACCAAGGCUUUGACGGGUAGCCGGCCUGAGAGGGUGACCGGCCACAUUGGGACUGAGAUACGGCGCAGACUCCUAUGGGAGGCAGCAGGGGGGAAUAUGGCACAAUGGGCGGAAGCCUGAUGCAGCAACGCCGCGUGCGGGAUGACGGCCUUCGGGUUGUAAACCGCUUUCGCCUGUGACGAAGCGUGAGUGACGGUAAUGGGUAAAGAAGCACCGGCUAACUACGUG
rnacentral:rRNA from 1 species